UUUUUUCUUGUUGCUUGUAUGUUCUGCUAUUUUCUAGUGCUGAAUUCAGCACUUAGCCCAAUUUUGACUUUGUGCAGCUCAGAGACCACCCAUGUAACCAGAGAAUACCUCGUUGUGCCAAUCUUGAUGGUUGAAACAGACAUGAAGGGCAUCAGUCAGUUUCUAGAACAAGAAAUGCUAAACUCAGUGAGACCAGUUUAUUCUUCUGAUUACUUUGCUAAUUCCAAUGAGCUGAAUAAGGUUCAAUAGUCUUAGCAUUAUCAAAAACAAAAAUAAAGGGGGAGGGGGGGGAGGGUGUCAUUAAGCAGAGGAUACAUCUACUUGCAGAGGUAGCCAAAACACCUGUUACAUACAGAUAGAAAAACACAAGCUUUUGACCAUACAUUCCUUUAAUACAAAAACACAAACUGUGUUUUGCUAUAUCCAGUGACCACCAUACUCACCAAAAAUGUACUACUUAAAUAUUAUUACUGCUUAAAUAUUAUUCUUUUUUAGAAGAAGAAAGAAAAUUAUCUACUAAUCUAAAAUGCAAUGUUUUUGGAAAAAUGUGUCAUUUUUCUAAGAUUGCAAAAUGAAUCCUGAAGGGAUUUAUUCCACAUGUGAAUUGUUGGAUAGAGCAAGUCUUUUCUUCCUCGAAUUUUCCUAGGGAUUUUAAAAAUUACAUUAAAAAAGCACAGAAUUUUAAAGUAAAUUCUCCAUAAAUGUAGUGCAAAGCUCCUAACAAGCACAGUCUUUGUGGGAUUGAGAUCUAAAGACAUAGUAAUUGCAUCAAACUACAACCUGGAGAACUGAAGCAUUGUGUAUGAAGGCAAGGAAAAGAAAGCAAAUUAUGUUAGCAGUGCUAGACACUGCUGCACAUGGAUGGGAGCUAGGGGAGAGGAAGAACAGGAGCAGUGCUUUGAAUCAGCUAGAAUUGAUUGCAUGUAGAGCUAUCAGGACUUUCCCAGUGUCUACAGAUGUGCAGCAAACCAAAUCACCAGAAUAUGAUUAUUUUUGUCCUAUCCAAGUUUAUCAUUUGAGAAAACAAAGGAGAAGAAGAACAGAAAUGUUAAGCUUUAAUCAGCAAUUGGCUGAGGAAAACUCCAUGGGAAACAGAAGUAGAAGGGCUCAUUAAAUUAUAUGAGGAGCAUUCUGCACAUUCAACUGAUGGUGAAAGAUUCUCUGUCCUCCGUUGCCCAGACAGAUGAAUAAUGAUUAAUGAAAAAUGAAUAUAGAUGGUCUUCGAAAGUAAAGUGCAUUUACUGGCCAAUCAAGUAAGCUGGGUUAUUAUUAAAACUUCAUUUAAAACUUUAAAAUCUUCCUAGGUUAGUUUUUCACAUGGGCCAGGAAAUAUGAAAUAAGUAAAACAUGUUCCCAU
rnacentral:lncRNA from 1 species